rnacentral:rRNA from 1 species
UACGUAGGGUGCAAGCGUUGUCCGGAAUUAUUGGGCGUAAAGAGCUCGUAGGCGGUCUGUCGCGUCUGCUGUGAAAACUCAGGGCUUAACCCUGAGCUUGCAGUGGGUACGGGCAGACUAGAGUGCGGUAGGGGAGACUGGAAUUCCUGGUGUAGCGGUGAAAUGCGUAGAUAUUGGGAGGAACACCAGUGGCGAAGGCGGUCCCCUGGGCCGGAACUGACGCUGAGGCGCGAAAGCGUGGGUAGCAAACGGG